rnacentral:rRNA from 1 species
UACGUAGGGUGCAAGCGUUUGUCCGGAAUUAUUGGGCGUAAAGAGCUCGUAGGCGGUCUGUCGCGUCUGCUGUGAAAACUCGGGGCUUAACCCCGGGCCUGCAGUGGGGUAGGGCAGACUAGAGUGCGGUAGGGGAGGACUGGAAUUCCUGGUGUAGCGGUGAAAUGCGCAGAUAUCAGGAGGAACACCAACGGCGAAGGCAGCUCGCUGGGACGGUACUGACGCUGAGACGCGAAAGCGUGGGGAGCGAACAGG